GACGAAAGAUACCAAAGGGACAGUCAAACUCAUAACAAGAAUUUUUCGAUAUCUCAUUUCUGUUUAAUACAUUUUAUUAUUUUGAGAUUGCUCGGUAUUUAUACAUCCUGUUAACAGAAUGAGAUAUCGAAAAAUUCUUGUUAUGAGUUUGACUGUCCCUUUGGUAUCUUUCGU
rnacentral:sRNA from 1 species